UUGUCAAAAAUAAAAUAUAAAAUGAACCCUUUGUCGAAAAGAACCCGCAAAGCAUUUGAUAAAACGGUGCGUUUUGGCAACUAUUGGUUUCAUCUUAGUUCUGCUCUAGAUUAGCAUUGCCAUCGGUCGCGUUCCCUGAUUCCCCGUCCACGUCCACGUCGACACCGGCAUCGGCACCGGAAAACUAUCAACCGUUCCGUUCUUGUCCUCUCCGUAAUAAUCAGGGAAAUGGGUUUGUGGACAUUACUUGAGGGUUUCCUGCUUCUUGCAAAUGCUCUAGCUAUACUAAACGAGGACCGCUUUCUUGUGCCUAGAGGAUGGGGCUUAUCAGAUUUUUCCGGAGGCAGGACAAAAUCUUUCAAAGGCCAGAUUAUAGGUCUCAUUUAUGCAACUCAGUACCUAAGAGUUCCUCUCAUACUUCUUAAUUCCGUCUUCAUUAUUGUAAAGUUGGUUUCUGGGUGAUGCUUGGCAAGGAUCAUGCAUGUGCGGUUUAAGGAAUUCACAAGAUGUUUAGCACUAUUCCAGUCUCUUCCUGGUUGCAGGUGCUGAAGUUUUACAUCCCAUGAUUUCAAGUUGUUUUUAGAUAGGAAUAUUUGAGAAAUUCUAUUGUAAUUGUAAGAAUAUACAUCAAAAACAUCUCUUUUGAGAUCUUGAUCCAUUGAUAAUAUUAGGCACAAAAUUAUGCUUGCUACCACGACAUAUGUAGUCAGAAAUGGAGAUUAUUAUUGCGACUUUAGCUGGGUGGGUGCAGUAUUCAUUUUAUAAGAAUUAAUUAAAUGGGCCAAUUUCCUUGUAUUAUUCUCUACUUGUUGUCAAUUGCUUAAUGUUUGAUUGGUGAUGUGUUCCAAA